AUUGAACGCUGGCGGCAUGCCUUACACAUGCAAGUCGAACGGCAGCACGGGAGCAAUCCUGGUGGCGAGUGGCGAACGGGUGAGUAAUAUAUCGGAACGUGCCCAGUCGUGGGGGAUAACGUAGCGAAAGCUACGCUAAUACCGCAUACGAUCUAUGGAUGAAAGCGGGGGAUCGCAAGACCUCGCGCGAUUGGAGCGGCCGAUAUCAGAUUAGGUAGUUGGUGGGGUAAAAGCCUACCAAGCCUUCGAUCUGUAGCUGGUCUGAGAGGACGACCAGCCACACUGGAACUGAGACACGGUCCAGACUCCUACGGGAGGCAGCAGUGGGGGAAUUUUGGACAAUGGGCGCAAGCCUGAUCCAGCAAUGCCGCGUGCAGGAUGAAGGCCUGG
rnacentral:rRNA from 1 species